rnacentral:rRNA from 1 species
AUACGUAGGGGGCGAGCGUUGUCCGGAAUGAUUGGGCGUAAAGGGCGCGUAGGCGGCGCGGUAAGUCUGGAGUGAAAGUCCUGCUUUCAAGGUGGGAAUUGCUUUGGAUACUGCCGCGCUUGAGUGCAGGAGAGGUUAUCGGAAUUCCCGGUGUAGCGGUGAAAUGCGUAGAGAUCGGGAGGAACACCAGUGGCGAAGGCGGGUAACUGGACUGCAACUGACGCUGAGGCGCGAAAGUGUGGGGAGCAAACAGGGUUAGAUACCCUGGUAGUCCACACUGUAAACGAUGAAUGCUAGGUGUAAGAGGUAUCGACCCCUUUUGUGCCGGAGUCAACACAAUAAGCAUUCCGCCUGGGGAGUACGGCCGCAAGGUUGAAACUCAAAUGAAUUGGCGGGG